rnacentral:rRNA from 1 species
GACGAACGCUGGCGGCGUGCUUAACACAUGCAAGUCGAACGGAAAGGCCCUGCUUUUGUGGGGUUCUCGAGUGGCGAACGGGUGAGUAACACGUGAGUAACCUGCCCUUGACUUUGGGAUAACUUCAGGAAACUGGGGCUAAUACCGGAUAGGAGUUCCUGCUGCAUGUUGGGGGUUGGAAAGUUUCGGCGGUUGGGGAUGGACUCGCGGCUUAUCAGCUUGUUGGUGGGGUAGUGGCUUACCAAGGCUUUGACGGGUAGCCGGCCUGAGAGGGUGACCGGCCACAUUGGGACUGAGAUACGGCCCAGACUCCUACGGGAGGCAGCAGUGGGGAAUAUUGCACAAUGGGCGGAAGCCUGAUGCAGCAACGCCGCGUGCGGGAUGACGGCCUUCGGGUUGUAAACCGCUUUCGCCUGUGACGAAGCGUGAGUGACGGUAAUGGGUAAAGAAGCACCGGCUAACUACGUG